rnacentral:rRNA from 1 species
UACAUAGACUGCAAGCGUUAUUCGGAUUCACUGGGCGUAAAGGGUGCGCAGGCGGCCGUGUGUGUGAGGCGUGAAAGCCCGGGGCUUAACCCCGGAAUUGCACCUCAAACUACAUGGCUAGAGCAUUGGAGAGGGUAGCAGAAUUCAUGGUGUAGCAGUGAAAUGCGUAGAUAUCAUGAGGAAUACCAGAGGCGAAGGCGGCUACCUGGACAAUUGCUGACGCUCAGGCACGAAAGCGUGGGGAGCAAAAGGG